CCUACGGGAGGCUGCAGUAGGGAAUCUUCCACAAUGGGCGAAAGCCUGAUGGAGCAACGCCGCGUGGGUGAAGAAGGUCUUCGGAUCGUAAAACCCUGUUGUUAGAGAAGAAAGUGCGUGAGAGUAACUGUUCACGUUUCGACGGUAUCUAACCAGAAAGCCACGGCUAACUACGUGCCAGCAGCCGCGGUAAUACGUAGGUGGCAAGCGUUAUCCGGAUUUAUUGGGCGUAAAGGGAACGCAGGCGGUCUUGUAAGUCUGAUGUGAAAGCCUUGGGCUUAACCGGAGUAGUGCAUUGGAAACUGGGAGACGUGAGUGCAGAAGAGGAGAGUGGAACUCCAUGUGUAGCGGUGAAAUGCGUAGAUAUAUGGAAGAACACCAGUGGCGAAAGCGGCUCUCUGGUCUGUAACUGACGCUGAGGUUCGAAAGCGUGGGUAGCAAACAGGAUUAGAUACCCCAGUAGUC
rnacentral:rRNA from 1 species